AGAGUUUGAUCCUGGCUCAGGAUGCCUUCUGGCGGCGUGCCUAACACAUGCAAGUCGAGCGAAGCACUUAAGUUCGAUUCUUCGGAUGAAGACUUAUUUUACUGAGCGGCGGACGGGUGAGUAACGCGUGGGUAACCUGCCUCAUACAGGGGAAUAGCAGUUGGAAACGACUGAUAAUGCCGCAUAAGCGCACAGCACCGCAUGGUGCAGUGUGAAAAACUCCGGUGGUAUGAGAUGGACCCGCGUCUGAUUAGCUAGUUGGUGGGGUAACAGCCUACCAAGGCGACGAUCAGUAGCCGGCCUGAGAGGGUGAACGGCCACAUUGGGACUGAGACACGGCCCAAACUCCUACGGGAGGCAGCAGUGGGGAAUAUUGCACAAUGGGGGAAACCCUGAUGCAGCAACGCCGCGUGAGUGAAGAAGUAUUUCGGUAUGUAAAGCUCUAUCAGCAGGGAAGAAAAUGACGGUACCUGACUAAGAAGCACCGGCUAAAUACGUGCCAGCAGCCGCGGUAAUACGUAUGGUGCAAGCGUUAUCCGGAUUUACUGGGUGUAAAGGGAGCGUAGGCGGCGGGGCAAGUCAGAAGUGAAAGCCCGGGGCUCAACCCCGGGACUGCUUUUGAAACUGUUCUGCUAGAGUGUCGGAGAGGUAAGCGGAAUUCCUAGUGUAGCGGUGAAAUGCGUAGAUAUUAGGAGGAACACCAGUGGCGAAGGCGGCUUACUGGACUGUAACUGACGUUGAGGCUCGAAAGCGUGGGGAGCAAACAGGAUUAGAUACCCUGGUAGUCCACGCCGUAAACGAUGAUUAAUGGGUGUCGGGGGUUAUGAACCUUUGGGGCCGCAGCCAAACGCAAUAAGUAUUCCCCCCGGGGAGGACGUUCGCAAGAAUGAAAUCAAAAGGAAUGAGGGGGGACCCGCACAAGCGGUGGAGCAUGUGGUUAAUUUCGAAGCAACGCGAAGAACCUUACCAAAUCUUGACAUCCCUCUGACAGAGUAUGUAAUGUACUUUUCUUUCGGGACAGAGGUGACAGGUGGUGCAUGGUUGUCGUCAGCUCGUGUCGUGAGAUGUUGGGUUAAGUCCCGCAACGAGCGCAACCCUUGUCUUUAGUAGCCAGCAUUUAAGAUGGGAACUCUAGAGAGACUGCCAGGGAUAACCUGGAGGAAGGUGGGGAUGACGUCAAAUCAUCAUGCCCCUUAUGAUUUGGGCUACACACGUGCUACAAUGGCGUAAACAAAGGGAAGCGACCCCGUGAGGGUGAGCAAAUCCCAAAAAUAACGUCUCAGUUCGGAUUGUAGUCUGCAACUCGACUACAUGAAGCUGGAAUCGCUAGUAAUCGCGAAUCAGAAUGUCGCGGUGAAUACGUUCCCGGGUCUUGCACACAGCGCCCGUCA
rnacentral:rRNA from 1 species